GUUAUAUUUCAUGGGGUUUAGGCAUAACUAGUGCCACAUUCAGGCCCAAGUGACACUGAAUUGGGAAGAGAAAUGUUUCCUCCACUUCUUCCUGGAACUCAGCACAGCUUAGUCACAGUGAGGGCUCAGGGGCUGGCUCCUGUCCAGCGUCAGUUGAGAGGACAGUAGAUCCAGGAAGCAGGACUCUAGACCAGGGCAUCUACAGCUGCAGAGGCCAGGGUGCUCUGAGACAAGGAUGAGAUGAAUCCUCACAGGCUUAGGGAAAGCAGACACUGAGGAGGAGGCCAGACACAGACAUCAUGAGAGGACUGUGCAGCAGCUCACUGGAGCAUCUCAGGCACCCAAGGAACUCGUGGAAACAACUGUGCAAGGCCCAGGUGGAGGAAUAGAGAACCUGCAGUUAUUCUGGAAGAGGGCAGGUGGCUUAAAAUGAAUUGUCAGCUGCUGGGAGCCAUGUGGGUCCUAUGGAAGCUUCUCCAACAGCCUCAGGGCAGCAGCAGCAGCACCCAGAGUAGCUCUUGUUCCUCUACGAAACCUCCUCAAAAAGGUACCAUGGCCAUGAAUAAAGCAUUCAAGACAGUCACCUUCCAGGAGGGUCCCACGAGGAGAAAUGAGGGGAAGAACACAAGAAAGGCUUUGUCUGACUACAGGGAACAAUUCAUUGGCAGAAAUUGCCCUGAGAUUGACUCCCCAUUGCCUUGGGUCCCAAGGUCCUGGGAGAGAAAAGAAUUGGAUUCUGAAAAAACUGUGAUCAGCACAAAGGCAUGUUGAUACCCUGGCACCAUGAAAGCAUUGAAAGGGAGAAAAAUGACUGGAUUGGCAAAAGUCUUGACAAGAGAGGCCAACAGAAACCAAAAGCCUUCACGACUGUAACUCAAUUUGUUUUCUGAGCUCAGAAGAGAAUGACACUGUGCUAGAUGGAUUUCAGUUGUCCUUCCAGAUCUGCUCUCCACUUCUCCACACUGGCCAGCACCCUUCAUGUGCUGCUCACAAAGCCGAGAGCCACAGAGGAGCACACGGGGUGAGCUGUGAUGAAUGAUUUUCAUUUACCUUUCCAGAUCCUCUGUCCACCCUGCUGUGCCGAUAGGCAUUUACGGACCAUAGCGACAAGCUCCUUUGUCCCCUGGCUUCUGGUUAGAGAGCCAAUGAGAUGCACGGGCAAAGACUGCAUGGAGAGGGAAAAGUGAGGUUGGGGCAUUGCCUGCCCUCCCUGCAGGGCUGUGAGUCUCAGAGUCCAUGUUCCACGAUCUAAGGCCAAGCGCCCGUCAAGCAGGCAGCUCUCUUUCAUAGCUUCCAGGUCCAAUGACCUUCCCUCUAAGGGUGGUAAUAGCACUCCAUGCUUAACAAUCACUAUUCCUUUUAACCCAGUACAUCUUUGCAAAUUAGCCCUUUUUGAAACUCUUCAGUUUCCCUCAUUUGACUGCAUCACUUUUUUCUCAUGGAAACCCUCACUUGGGGAUUAUUGUUUAGGGAGAGUUUCCCCAGUAUUUUUACAGAGCUAACAGGAAGUUAAUUUGCCUGCCCUUUGUACAGCUCAGUUAGAUCAGCUUUUGUCUGGAAAGGAGCCUUGCAGGGCUUGGCUUUGUAUCCUGUUGGGAUGAUCAUCUCUCCAGUGUGAUGACUAAGGGUUGUGUCCAGUUAGUGCACUAGCAACUGAAGUUAGGAAGGCUCGGGUGGACGCUGCCAACCAGCAAUCCAAUCUGCCUGAUGGCCAACCCUUUGACUGCUGGGAGCCUGGAGCUUUCUGAAUCAGACAACUUCCAGACUUCACAUGUGCUGCCAAGCACAAGAUAUAUUCUGGAAAAGAAGAGGAGGAGGAAGAAGAAUGACUGUAAAGGAAGGAGCAGUACUGUUUUCAUGAGGACCUACUAUGUGCCAGACAUUAUUCUAGGUGCUGGGGCUACCAUGGUUUGCUGGGGAGCACAAGAAGCUGCGAUUUUUGUUCUGCUGAUUUCCAUUAACACCCCCUACCCACCCCACCUUCACCCCUGGCAAAUAGACGCCGCUAAAUGGAGGGAAACUUGCAGCUACUUGGGAGGCUAAGGUGGGAAGAUCGCUUGAGCCCAGGAGGUCGAGGCUGCGGUGAACCAAGAUUGUGACACUGCACUCCAGCCUGGGCAACAGAUGCUGUGUGAAGAUGAAGGCAGAGAUCAGGCUGAUGCUUAUGGAAAGCCAGAGAUUGCCAACAAACCACCAAAAGCUAGGAGAGAGGCCUGGAACAGAUUCUCUCUGAGUCCUCAGAAGGAACCAACCCUGCCAACACUGUGAUCUUGGACUUCUAAACCCCAGAACUGUGAAAUAAUAAAUGUCUGAUGUCUAAGCCAGCCAGUUUGUGGUAGUUUGUUACAGCAGCCCUAGAAACCUAACAUAUGGUAGACAAAGUGUAGAAGGAGUCGGAUCGUUGCCAGACUGAAAGC
rnacentral:lncRNA from 1 species